GGGCCCGCACAAGCGGUGGAGCAUGUGGUUUAAUUCGACGCAACGCGAAGAACCUUACCAGCUCUUGACAUUGCUAAGUCGCGAGUUUUAGAGAUAAAACUCUUCAGUUAGGCUGGACUUAGUACAGGUGCUGCAUGGCUGUCGUCAGCUCGUGUCGUGAGGUGUCAGUUAAGUCCUAUAACGAGCGCAACCCCUGUUGUUAGUUGCCAGCGAGUCAUGUCGGGAACUCUAACAAGACUGCCGGUGCAAACCGUGAGGAAGGUGGGGAUGACGUCAAAUCAUCACGGCCCUUACGUCCUGGGCUACACACGUGCUACAAUGGUCGGUACAGAGAGCAGCCACUACGCGAGUAGGAGCGAA
rnacentral:rRNA from 1 species